UGAAGAACGCAGCGAAAUGCGAUAAGUAAUGGGAAUGGCAGAAUUCAGUGAAUCAUCGAAUCUUUGAACGCACCUUGCGCUCCUUGGUAUUCCGAGGAGCAUGCCUGUUUGAGUGUCAUUAAAUUCUCAACCCCCCGACGGAUUUGUUUCUGACGUGGGGCUUGGAUGUGAGGGUGUGCUGGACUCCAUUAGGAGGUCAGCUCCCUUUGAAUGCAUUAGCGGAUUUUACCAUCGUGGAUAGGCUUCGGACUGAUAAUUAUCUAUGCCGUCGCCGUGAAGCGGUAAUCUGCUCAUAACCGUCUUUGGACAAUUUUUUGACCAUUUGACCUCAAAUCAGGUAGGACUACCCGCUGAACUUAAGCAUAUCAAUAAGCGGAGGAAAAGAAACUAACAAGGAUUCCCCUAGUAACUGCGAGUGAAGCGGGAAAAGCUCAAAUUUAAAAUCUGGCUGUUUUGCAGUCCGAGUUGUAAUCUAGAGAAGUGUUUUCCGCGCUGGACCGUGUACAAGUCUCCUG
rnacentral:rRNA from 1 species